rnacentral:misc_RNA from 1 species
AAAUGCGAUAAGUAGUGUGAAUUGCAGAAUUCAGUGAAUCAUCGAAUCUUUGAACGCACAUUGCGCCCCUUGUUAUUCCAUGGGGCAUGCCUGUUCGAGCGUCAUUUGUACCCUCAAGCUCUGCUUGGUGUUGGGUGUUUGUCCCCGUCUCCGCGCGUGGACUCGCCCCAAAGUGAUUGGCAGCCGGCGUACUGGUCCCGGAGCGCAGCACAUGUCGCGCAAACGAGUGCCUUGGUACGGCGGCGUCCAUAAGCCCCUCUCUCACGCUCUUGACCUCGGAUCAGGUAGGGAUACCCGCUGAACUUAAGC